UACAGAGGUCUCAAGCGUUGUUCGGAUUCAUUGGGCGUAAAGGGUGCGUAGGCGGCGCGGUAAGUCGGGUGUGAAAUCUUGGAGCUUAACUCCGAAACUGCAUUCGAUACUGCCGUGCUUGAGGACUGGAGAGGAGACUGGAAUUUACGGUGUAGCGGUGAAAUGCGUAGAUAAUCGUAAGGAAGACCAGUGGCGAAGGCGGGUCGUCUGGACAGUUCCUG
rnacentral:rRNA from 1 species